ACACAGUGGCGCACGGGUGAGUAAUGCAUCGCUAAUGUACCCUGGGGUCUGGGAUAGCCAGUCGAAAGAUUGGGUAAUACCAGAUGAGACCACGAACAGGCAUCUGUUUGUGCUCAAAGGGCAACUGCCCUGGGAUCAGGCGAUGUGGUAUCAGGUAGUUGGUGAGGUAACGGCUCACCAAGCCUUCGACGCCUAGCCGGACUGAGAGGUCGGUCGGCCACAUCGGGACUGAGACACUGCCCGGACUCCUACGGGGGGCUGCAGUAACGAAUCUUCCGCAAUGCACGCAAGUGUGACGGAGCGACGCCGCGUGUGGGACGAAGUCCUUCGGGAUGUAAACCACUGUCAAGAGUAAGAAAGUUCUGAUCUACUCUAAAGGAAGGGGCGACUAACUCUGUGCCAGCAGUCGCGGUAAUACAGAGGCCCCAAGCGUUAGGCGGAAUCACUGGGCUUAAAGCGUGUGUAGGCGGGUUGGUAAGUACUUUGUGAAAUCCCACGGCUUAACUGUGGAACUGCUUAGUAUACUGCCGAUCUUGAGUCAUUUAGGGGCAGCCGGAACAGAUGGUGGAGCGGUGAAAUGCGUAGAUAUCAUCUGGAACGCCAAUGGUGCAGACAGGCUGCUGGGAAUGAACUGACGCUGAGGCACGAAAGCCAGGGGAGCGAACGGGAUUAGAUACCCCGGUAGUCCUGGCCCUAAACGAUGUCUACUAGAUCGUGGCGGCACUGACGCCGUCAUGGUCGAAGCAAAAGUGUUAAGUAGACCGCCUGGGAAGUACGGUCGCAAGGCUAAAACUCAAAAGAAUUGACGG
rnacentral:rRNA from 1 species